rnacentral:rRNA from 2 species
AGCAUAUCAAUAAGCGGAGGAAAAGAAACCAACAGGGGCUGACUUAGCACCCCCCGAAGUGUCCCUGCAGAAGCUCACGUUUAACAUCUGGCUCUCGGGACCGAGUUGUAAUUUGUAGAGGAUGCUUUUGGUGCGGUGCCUUCCGAGUUCCCUGGAACGGGACGCCAUAGAGGGUGAGAGCCCCGUCUGGUUGGACGCCAAUCCUCUGUAAAGCUCCUUCGACGAGUCGAGUAGUUUGGGAAUGCUGCUCUAAAUGGGAGGUAUAUGUCUUCUAAAGCUAAAUACCGGCCAGAGACCGAUAGCGCACAAGUAGAGUGAUCGAAAGAUGAAAAGAACUUUGAAAAGAGAGUUAAAAAGUACGUGAAAUUGUUGAAAGGGAAGCGCUUGUGACCAGACUUGGGCUCGGCUGAUCAUCCAGGGUUCUCCCUGGUGCACUCUACCGGCUCAGGCCAGCAUCAGUUUGCCCCGGGGGACAAAGACGUCGGGAAUGUGGCUCCCUCCGGGGAGUGUUAUAGCCCAGCGUGUAAUACCCUGUGGCGGACUGAGGUUCGCGCAUUCGCAAGGAUGCUGGCGUAAUGGUCAUCAGUGACCCGUCUUGAAACACGGACCAAGGAGUCGUCUUCGUAUGCGAGUGUUCGGGUGUCAAACCCCUACGCGUAAUGAAAGUGAACGCAGGUGAGAGCUUCGGCGCAUCAUCGACCGAUCCUGAUGUUUUCGGAUGGAUUUGAGUAAGAGCAUACGGGGCCGGACCCGAAAGAAGGUGAACUAUGCCUGUAUAGGGUGAAUCCAGAGGGAACUCUAGCGGCCGCUCGAAGUUUGCCUCAGGUGCAAACUACCCGCUGAACUUAAGCAUGGGGGCGAAAGACUAAUCGAACCUUCUAGUAGCUGGUUUCCSCCGAAGUU